AACGUAGGAGACAAACGUUAUCCGGAGUUACUGGGCGUAAAGGGCGCGUAGGCGGCCCGCACAAGUCUGCGGUGAAAACCCCCGGCUUAACCGGGGGCCGGCCGUGGAAACUGUCGGGCUGGAGGCCGGGAGAGGGCAGUGGAAUUCCCGGUGUAGCGGUGAAAUGCGUAGAGAUCGGGAGGAACACCGGCGGCGAAGGCGGCUGCCUGGACCGGCCCUGACGCUGAGGCGCGAAAGCUAGGGGAGCAAACAGG
rnacentral:rRNA from 1 species